GCUGGGAAUUGAACUCAGGACCUCUGUAAGAGUAGUCGAUGCUCUUAACCACUGAGCCACCUCUCCAGCCCUAGCCCAUACCAUUUUUAUUUUUAUUUUAGUUUUUCUUUUUAAGAUUUUGAUAUUUUAAAACUGUGCACUGUUUUGUGGAGACGUAUGUAUAUAUACCACAUACAUGCCACAGAUUGUCUUAUCUCCCCCCACCCCCCCAAACAGGAAUUACAGUUGUGGCUGCCUACCAUGCGGAUGCUGCCAGUUGAACUUGGGUUCAAGGACAAGUGCUUUUCACCACUACAGACUCUGUAGCCCCAGGUCUUUAGUUUUUAAAUGGGGUGAAAUUUAUUAAUUAGCAGGAGGCAUACUGACCCUUCAACUUCCUGUGUCAGAAUUUGUGUAUCAGAAAGUCACUGCCAGCAAGCCUUGCUGUCUUGUGAACAUCUCUCCUCCAGUGUUCCACACUUUCUCUCUUAGGAACAGAUGGAUGCUCAAGAUCUGCACAAGUUUCCAAAUUCAGGCUUUUAUACUAAGAAAAAGUACCUUGAUAGUACUGUUCUGUGAUAAGCCUGGAAUUCAGAAUAGACACUAGAUGGCAGUGAUAGUGUUUUGUGAAUAUUUAGGAGAUGACAGAGAUGGAAUAACUUUAGUGAAUAAAUAGUAUCAUUGAAAUAAUAAUUUGAAAGUUAAGCAUAUGAAGUAACAACUUGGUGUCUUUUAUUCAUCUUUUUGGUUUUGGUCACCAACAUGGAGUUUGACCAAAGGUAGGCUCUUUCUAGAUGUCUGAUGACAAAUUUGGCUAUGUUAAUCCCCAAGUCCUCUUUUCCCAAAUGAUAUCAGAACUCAUAACAGACAGCUAAAUCUUCAUGGCACUGUUUCCCCUUUUUUUAAUGGUUGAAAAUCAUUUACCUCUCCCACUAUUUGCUAUUGAAGGUACUUGUGCGUUCUCUUUAAGCCUUUGUUAUUUCCCCAUGGAGGGCCUCUGCUAACUCAAAGAAUUCCCUUGAGUUGUGGCAAGGUACUAAGGUGUUACAAAUAAUUUGUUCUAUAUGCAGGAGCUAAAUCUCCUGGGCUUUUCCUCACCUGAGCUGGCUUUGAGAACAUGCUUGCAUAUUUGUACAUGGCACGGGUGUAUGCACAUACUGGCACGCACAUGCAUAAAUGUGUGUGGAGGUCAGGAUACUGAAGUGUACAUGGUAAAUAUGUUGACAACAUUUAAAUACUUAUGCUGCACUUCUAUUUGAUUUGGGAUUAAUACAAAUGGCAUCAAUUUGUUUCUAUCCAUUUAUUUGUAACAUAUGACUUGUAAUUUCUUUAAGGGCACAAUUAGAGAAUGAAAAGAAGAAACGAGAAAUAGC
rnacentral:lncRNA from 1 species